rnacentral:rRNA from 1 species
GACGAACGCUGGCGGCGUGCCUAAUACAUGCAAGUCGAACGCUUCUUCCCUCCCGAGUGCCUGUACCCAAUUGGAAGAGGCGUGGCGGACGGGUGAGCAACACGUGCGUAACUUACCCAUCAGAGGGGGAUAACACUUGGAAACAGGUGCUAAUACCGCAUAACAGUUUAUGCCGCAUGGCAUAAGAGCGAAAGGCGCUUUCGGGUGCCGCUGUUGGAUGGACCCGCGGUGCAUUAGCUAGUUGGUGAGGUAACGGCUCACCAAGGCGACGAUGCGUAGCCGACCUGAGAGGGUGAUCAGCCACACUGGGACUGAGACACGGCCCAGACUCCUACGGGAGGCAGCAGUAGGGAAUAUUCGGCAAUGGACGAAAGUCCGACCGAGCAACGCCGCGUGAGUGAAGAAGGUUUUCGGGUCGUAAAGCUCUUUUGUUAGGGAAGAACAACAGCGUUAGUAACUGAACGUCCUCUGACGGUAUCUAACCAGAAAGACACGGCUAACUACGUG